UGUGAUUCAGCCAUAUCAACCUGCAGCCCAAGACUGGUUACUCACUGAAGCCAAGCAGGGCUGAGCCUGGUCAGUACCUGGAUGGGAGACUACAUGGGAAGACCAGGUUGCUGUCGGAA
ensembl:rRNA 5S_rRNA 5S ribosomal RNA